rnacentral:ribozyme from 1 species
CGCAGAGUGAGCCGGGAAACCGGCUUAAUGCGGGCAGAGGCGGUCACAACCCCGC